rnacentral:rRNA from 1 species
GAUGAACGCUGGCGGCGUGCCUAAUACAUGCAAGUCGAGCGAACGGACGAGAAGCUUGCUUUUCUGAUGUUAGCGGCGGACGGGUGAGUAACACGUGGAUAACCUACCUAUAAGACUGGGAUAACUUCGGGAAACCGGAGCUAAUACCGGAUAAUAUUUUGAACCGCAUGGUUCAAAAGUGAAAGACGGUCUUGCUGUCACUUAUAGAUGGAUCCGCGCUGCAUUAGCUAGUUGGUAAGGUAACGGCUUACCAAGGCAACGAUGCAUAGCCGACCUGAGAGGGUGGUCGGCCACACUGGAACUGAGACACGGUCCAGACUCCUACGGGAGGCAGCAGUAGGGAAUCUUCCGCAAUGGGCGAAAGCCUGACGGAGCAACGACGCGUGAGUGAUGAAGGUCUUCGGAUCGUAAAACUCUGUUAUUAGGGAAGAACAUAUGUGUAAGUAACUGUGCACAUCUUGACGGUACCUAAUCAGAAAGCCACGGCUAACUACGUG